AAGCAGAUCGGCGGCCGCGGGGAGGUUCGGGGCGGCGCAGCCCCGCGCGGUUGUGGGAUCGCUCCCGGGGGCCGCUCCUCUCUCGGGCACUGGGGUCGCGGGAGACGUCGUCGGGAGCUCGGUUUCUGGAGGCCCUUCCCCACCCGGCCUCUGCCUCCUCCACUCCCCCGGGCUGGACGGAACGGGGCCCAGCGCGGGAUGCGAGAGGUAUGAUUUCGCUCUGUCGCCCAGGCUGGAGGGCAGUGGCGCAAUCUCGGCUCACUGCAGCCUCGAACUCCUAGGCUGAAGCGAUUCUCCCGCCUCAGCCUCCAAAGUAGCCGGUACUACAGGCGCGCGCCACCACGCCUGGCUAAGGGUCUUACUAUGUCACCCAGACUGAAGUGCAGUGGCAUGAUCACAGGUCAUUGCAUCCUCAACCACCCAGACUCAAGCAAUCCUCCUGUCUCAGCCUUCCAAGUAACUGAGACCACAGACAAAGCCUCACUCUGUCACCCAGACUGGAGUGCAGUGGUAUAAUCAUAGCUCACUACAGCCUUGACCUCCUGAGCUCAAGCAGUCCUCCUGUCUCAGCCUCCCAAGUAGCUGGGAUGACAGUGUGCACCACCACACCCAGCUAAUUUUUUUUUUUUUGGUCUUGCUGUGUUGCCCGGGCUGGACUCAAGUGAUCUUCCCUUCUCAGCCUCUCAAAGUGCUGGAAUUACAGGCAUGAGCCACCGUGCCCAGCCAGAGAAAUAACCAUGGAUAUGGGUAGAGACAGAGCCAUAUGGAAUGCACACUGCAGUGGUGAACACAUGGCCCAGCUCUGCCAUCAAGGAGAAGGAACAUGAAUGGAGCUGGAGGCCAUCAUCCUUAGUGAACUAACACAGGAGCAGAAAACCAAAUACCACAUGUUCUCAUGUGUAAGUGGGAGCUAAAUGAUGAGAACACAUGGACACAAAGAGGGGAACAACAGACACUGAAGCCUCCUUGAGGGAGGAGGGUAAGAGGAAGGAGAAGAUCAGAAAAGAUAACUACCAGGUACUAUGGUAGCUUAGUACCUGGGUGAUGAAAUAAUCUGUACACCCAACCCUCAUGACAGAAGUUUACCUGUGUAACAAACCUGCACAUGUAUCCCUGAAACUAAAAGUUUUUUAAAAAGUUAUUUAAUAUAUAUAUAUUUUUUUGAGACGGAGUUUUGCUCUUGUUGCCCAGGCUGGAGUGCGGUGGCGCAAUUUCGGCUCACCACAACCUCCGCCUCCCAGGUUCAAGCUAUUCCCCUGCCUCAGCCUCCCUAGUAGCUGGGAUUACAGGCUUGUGCCACCACGCCGGCUAAUUUUGUAUUUUUUGUAGAGACGGGGUUUCUCCAUGUUGGUCAGGCUGGUCUCGAACUCCCGACCUCAGGUGAUCCACCCCCCUCGGCCUCCCAAAGUGCUAGGAUUACAGGCAUGAGCCACUGCGCCCGGCAAAAAGUUAUUUAAUAUUAAUGGGACAAUACUCAUUGCAAGAAUCAGACUUCAAUUGCUAGCAUAAGUAAAUGACAGGCAGGAGAUAUUGAAAAUGCAAUCUUAUAGACAUUCAAGGAGAGGACGCAGGACAUUUCUGUGUCAUAAAUGUACUAUGGAAAAUAAAAAUGAGAAAAAUGGAAAUAAAAUACAAGAAAAGGUUAUGAUAAAUUUCAUAUUAUUUUACCACAAUAAAAAAAUUUUAAUAAAUUAUAAAUGGUGUGAUAUGUUUUGCCUGUGUUCCACCCAAAUCUCAUCUUGAAUUAGAGCUCCCACAAUUCCCACGUGUUGUGGCUGGGACCCUGUGGGAGAUAAUUGAAUCAUGGGGGCAGUUUACCCCAUACUGUUCUCUUGGUGGUGAAUAAGUCUCAUGAGAGUUGAUGGUUUGAUAAGGGGUUUCCCCUUUUGCUUGGCUCUCAUUCUCUCUUGACUGCCACCAUGUAAGAUGUGCCUUUUGCCUUCCACCAUGAUUGUGAAGCCUCCCAGCCACAUGGAACUGUGAGUCCAUUAAACCUUUUUCUUUACAAAUUA
rnacentral:lncRNA from 1 species